rnacentral:rRNA from 1 species
UACGGAGGUAGCAAGCGUUGUUCGGAUUCACUGGGUGUAAAGGACAUGUAGGCGUCCCGUUAAGUCGGAUGUGAAAUCCCUCGGCUCACCCGAGGAACUGCAUCCGAAACUGGCGGGAUUGAGUACUGGAGAGGUAAGCGGAAUUCCGGAAGUAAGGGUGAAAUCUGUAGAUAUCCGGAAGAACACCGUUAGCGAAGGCGGCUUACUGGCCAGAUACUGACGCUGAAAUGUGAAAGCUAGGGUAGCGAACAGGAUUAGAUACCCCCGUA